rnacentral:rRNA from 1 species
CAGUCGCCGCGGGAAUACAGAGGGUGCGAGCGUUAAUCGGAUUUACUGGUCGUAAAGCGUGCGUAGGCGGCUUCUUAAGUCGGAUGUGAAAUCCCUGAGCUUAACUUAGGAAUUGCAUUCGAUACUGGGAAGCUAGAGUAUGGGAGAGGAUGGUAGAAUUCCAGGUGUAGCGGUGAAAUGCGUAGAGAUCUGGAGGAAUACCGAUGGCGAAGGCAGCCAUCUGGCCUAAUACUGACGCUGAGGUACGAAAGCAUGGGGAGCAAACAGGAUUAGAGACCCCAGUAGUCCCUGUCUCUUAUAA